CUCCUCCUCCUCGCCGCUCGCCCGCGCCGCCGCCUCCCGGCGCUCGGGGUCCCGCUCCUCCUCGCGCGCCAUGGCUCCCACGCUCCGCGCCCGCGCUCGGCCUGGGGCGGCGGCGCGGCGGGGGCGGCGGGGGCGGCCGGGAGGCGGGGGCGGAGGGGGCAGAGGAGGAGGAGCGGGGAAGGACCGACGGUAGGAGGGCCCGCCGCUGGCCAACUCCGCCGGUUGGCAAAGCCACCCCGGACUGGCUCUGGCCUCGCCGGCUGCAGGAGCGCCUCGCGGGGCCGCCCGCCUAUUCCAUGGUCGGCGCGAUGGGGGCCGGGGCCGGGCCGGAGCGAACAGGGAGCACCGAGCGAGCUGGGAGCAUGAGCUAGCGCAGCUCCCGGCAGCCUGCAGCGGCGAGGCUGGUCGGGCCAGGGUUGGCGGGGGGCAGUGCCUGGGACACAGCCCGGCGCUGGCCGGCAUGGCGGGGAGGGGGCGCGCUGGGAGGAGACUGGGCUGGGGAGGGAUCCCUGUGUGCAGUCCUUCAACCCUUCUGUGCCAGGGGAAGAGGGACGGCGCAGGGGGCCCCCUCUCGGGAAGCACACACGCUGCCUCCCAGAGGCCGAUCUUCACCAAGAAGGAUUCGCUGGAAACUUUCGGAAAACCGAGGGGCUCUUCAGCCUCCUCUCUACGUGCUACCUGGAGUCGGGGCGCCGCGAGUGCGCUUGGCUGCCCGCGCCCAGCCUCUGGCCUCGCCUCUUCUCGCGGGCCUCCCGGGUUUCCCUCUGCCCCCUUGCGGGGAUCCCCCUGUGCGCCCGACUCGGGAUCUGGAACAGGCCUCCCCAGAGGCUGUUAGUUCCAUAAGGGUGUCCGGCUCCCCCCUCUGUCUUGGGCUCACACUUCGCUUUCUGUUCGUGCUGGACCAAGUCCAAUACUGUGGCUGAUCGAAGUGGGGACAGCUGGCACGGUCCCUGGAGAGGCGGCCUGAAGAGGCUUCUGGCCUUGUGCAGUCUUUGGAAGCUCCCUCCAGAAACCGAACUGUGAAAGGAGCAAGAGUUGAAAUGAAGAAUGUGCUCUGAUACUUCAGUCUGAGAGUAUUUCUUUCCUGGAGAGAGAGGCAUCACUCCUAGAUGUGUGGGGGUCUUCACCCUUUCAGGAAUAAGACAGGUCCCUGCAGAGACUUUGGACCUGAUGUGGUGAAUAAAGUUGGUUAGUCUUUCUCACAGUUCUACCUUUAGGACAAAGAAUAGAAAGCCUCCCGUGACUAUAUUCACUAACUCUCAGCCCAGGCCAGAUCAUCCACCAGCCAGUGAAAGGGACCUCGUCUGUGGCCAAACUAGGUGCAGCUCGGUGCCCUCCUGUGAUAUUUCCAGCUCUCCAGCCUCCUGCUGACCACAGCUCACAGACCUCAUGGAGUAGUUUCCAGGACAAAGCAAGGUUAUGUCUCCACAACACCAAACAUUCCCAGGUGUGGCAGGCAAGCCAUUGAUUUAGAAGAGAGGAGGAGAGAGGAAGAGAAAACCAGAAAAGGCACUUUCUUGGUAAAGAGACAUCAGCUUUCUCACCAUGGCUGUUUCAUAACACAAGGAGACCUGGCCCAAGCUCAGAGGGGAAAGACCCCUGGGUGUUCAUGGAAAACCUUUAAGCACAGUGAGACCAAAUGUUAGUAGAUGGGGGAUAAAAGGGAGAAAUUCAUGGAGUAUGCCUAGAACAGGCCUUGUAUGCAGCAUCCCCUUCUUGCCUAGGACUUGAAGGGCCAGGCUUCCUGUCAUUGCCUCACUCAAAUGUAGCCCAGGAAGACAUUAGACUGAUAGCACUGAUCACCUCCAGACAAAACCCCUGCACCUGCACAGUCACAUAGACUUGGACAAAAGCCCAUCCUUACUAAGGAAGACCUAACAACUAUUUCUUCUCACGCCCAUUCUUGUCCACCGUCUUUAUCAAAAAGCCAGGAAAACUGCUUCUUCAGACACUUUCUGAGCCGGCUGUAUUUUGAAGGACAAAAAAAAAAAAAUUACUCUUUUGAGAGCAUUGUGUCUGCAAGGUGGGCUCACGUUAUUUUUGGUGAUCAGUUUAUGACUGGAGUUCAAAUAGACUGCUUAUUUUAUAAGAGUUUUUAAUUUUGAAUAUUCUUUUUGCUGAACUGUGUGCAUUUGUUUGGUUUUUAACUCACCACAUGAAUAUGACUAUAGAUUUUUUUUUCCUAGUUGACCAUGGUCAGAUUCACAAUUGCCUUUAAAAAAAAUUUGUUGGCUGGGCACGGUGGCUCACGCCUGUAAUCCCAACACUUUAGGAGGCUGAAGCAGGUGGAUCAUCUGAGGUCAGAAGUUCGAGGCCAACCUGGCCAACAUGGUGAAACUCCGUCUCUACUAAAAAUACAAAAAUUAGCCAGGCAGGGUGGCGCAUGCCUGUAAUCCCAGCUACUCAGGAGGCUAAGGCAGGAGACUCUCUUGAACCCGGAAGGUGGAGGUUGCAGUGAGCCGAGAUCACGACACUGCACUCCAGCCUGGGUGGCAGAGCGAGACUCUGUCUCAGAAGAAAAAAAAAAAAAAAAGAAAAUGUGUUGAAGUAUAACAUACAUGAGGCAAAACGCACACAGCUUAAGCAUUAACUCAAUGACUCUGUAUAUACGUAUACAUCCUCACAGGUUCCAGACCAAGACAUGGAACAUUUCCUGCUCUCCCUGAAAGUCUCCCUGUGCCAGCCCCUCACCAGGCAAUAAUUCCCCAGAGAUAGUGCCUCUUCCCAACCCUGUACCCUAGAUCAUUGUUGCCUGUCCUUGAACCUCAGAUAAAGGGAGGCUCCUUUUGCCCAUCUUCGUUUUUGUGAUGUCUGUCCAUUGUGGUGUGCAUAGCUGUGAUUUGUUCUUUUUCACACUGUGAAGGUGUAGGUGGUUUUCACCUGAUGCUUCAGUUCCCUUCCAACUUUAGUAUAAGCCAAGAAUAAUCAAACCACUACAUCUGGAUCAGAGACAAAUGACCUCCCAGAUUGGCUAGUUUUGUAAGGAACUUCAGUUGAAAUUGAAACAGUCAUCAGCUGCUUCUCAAACCAGCUACACUACAUAAGGAGGAGCCCAAGGGAAACUGCAGGACAACAGGUCCACUGGGAAACUUCAGGGGGCCAAGCUGUCAAAGACAAGCACAGAAAAAUUCCUGCAAUGUGCGUUAGACCUUGAGGCAGCUUUUAAUGGCAAAAGUCAGUACAACCCAUUUCCUUUUUCUCUAAAUGAGAGGAAAGUAGAAUAGGUUCCAUCAGGAAAGAGUCACACCCAGGCCAUGACAAACUCAUGGAGGAUCCUGUCAAUCAAAUUCCUUUCUGCUGGGCAGAAAAAGUAUGUGGGAGCUUGUUAGUAAGGUGCAUUCCCAACCUAUCCUGAGGAUGUGGGACUCAGGAAGCCCAACAAUCUGCCCUAUUUACAAGGUCCCAGGUAUCCUUUCAUAUUAAGAUUUGAGACCUGCUGUUUCAGAGAAAGGGACAGCUUGGCAUGUAUUUUUUGGUAAAUCCUGGAGGGCAAGUCUAAAAAGCAAAAAAUAUACCGCCCAGCACCUAUUUGUUGAUAUUUUAAAUUGACUUGUUUGGGGUGUUUGGAAGAAAUAAAGACAGAGUAUGAAAACACAACCUGUAGCUAUGUCUAUAUGUAUUUCAUUUUUCACUUGAGUACUAUGUUUCUUAAAGACUCCUGUAAGAAAUAAUUCAGAACCACAUAAAUAAUAAAGAGAUUAAAAUUUUAAAUCCACAGAGGACAAACAUUAAGUAUUCACAAUUUGAGGAAUUUGUUCAUUCUGUCAGGAUCAUUCAGAAAGAAAACACAUACAUGCCACUAAUUUAAUUUUGCCCUCGUAAACUUGGGCAGACAAGGUGCUGAGUGUGGCAGAGGAGCCUGGGGAGAGCCCUGAGGGCUUAUUUUUGUUAAUAUACAAAUAUUAGGCUUAGGUAUCCUAUAUUUUAAAUCAAGACAAUAGAUCUAAAAAAUGUUUUAGCAUUUUGAAAUUUCAAAACUUCAUCCUGGUAGACCAUGAUAUGCAGUACAUCUUAAGUGGAAAAAAAAAGAAGCUACACUAUGAAUUGUAUAAUCCCAUUUUUGUAAAGUUAAGCAAAAUCAUCUCUCUCUCUCUAUCUCUGAUUACUUUGGGAUGUGGGAUUACAGGAUUUGGGGUUGGGGAUCAGAGAAUGUAGAGGGACUUUCACUUUUUAUUUUAUACUCUUCCAUAGCUUUAAAA
rnacentral:lncRNA from 1 species